CUGCGGAGGGAUCAUUACACAAAUAUGAAGGCGGGCUGGAACCUCUCGGGGUUACAGCCUUGCUGAAUUAUUCACCCUUGUCUUUUGCGUACUUCUUGUUUCCUUGGUGGGUUCGCCCACCACUAGGACAAACAUAAACCUUUUGUAAUUGCAAUCAGCGUCAGUAACAAAUUAAUAAUUACAACUUUCAACAACGGAUCUCUUGGUUCUGGCAUCGAUGAAGAACGCAGCGAAAUGCGAUAAGUAGUGUGAAUUGCAGAAUUCAGUGAAUCAUCGAAUCUUUGAACGCACAUUGCGCCCUUUGGUAUUCCAAAGGGCAUGCCUGUUCGAGCGUCAUUUGUACCCUCAAGCUUUGCUUGGUGUUGGGCGUCUUGUCUCUAGCUUUGCUGGAGACUCGCCUUAAAGUAAUUGGCAGCCGGCCUACUGGUUUCGGAGCGCAGCACAAGUCGCACUCUCUAUCAGCAAAGGUCUAGCAUCCAUUAAGCCUUUUUUUCAACUUUUGACCUCGGAUCAGGUAGGGAUACCCGCUGAACUUAAGCAUAUCAAUAAGCGGAGGAAAAGAAACCAACAGGGAUUGCCCUAGUAACGGCGAGUGAAGCGGCAACAGCUCAAAUUUGAAAUCUGGCUCUUUUAGAGUCCGAGUUGUAAUUUGCAGAGGGCGCUUUGGCUUUGGCAGCGGUCCAAGUUCCUUGGAACAGGACGUCACAGAGGGUGAGAAUCCCGUACGUGGUCGCUGGCUAUUGCCGUGUAAAGCCCCUUCGACGAGUCGAGUUGUUUGGGAAUGCAGCUCUAAAUGGGAGGUACAUUUCUUCUAAAGCUAAAUAUUGGCCAGAGACCGAUAGCGCACAAGUAGAGUGAUCGAAAGAUGAAAAGCACUUUGGAAAGAGAGUCAAACAGCACGUGAAAUUGUUGAAAGGGAAGCGCUUGCAGCCAGACUUGCUUACAGUUGCUCAUCCGGGUUUCUACCCGGUGCACUCUUCUGUAGGCAGGCCAGCAUCAGUUUGGGCGGUAGGAUAAAGGUCUCUGUCACGUACCUCCUUUCGGGGAGGCCUUAUAGGGGAGACGACAUACUACCAGCCUGGACUGAGGUCCGCGCAUCUGCUAGGAUGC
rnacentral:rRNA from 1 species